rnacentral:rRNA from 1 species
UACGGGGGGAGCAAGCGUUGUUCGGAUUUACUGGGCGUAAAGCGCGCGUAGGCGGCCUUCUAAGUCAGACGUGAAAUCCCCCGGCUUAACCUGGGAACUGCGUCUGAUACUGGGAGGCUUGAGUAUGGGAGAGGGAUGUAGAAUUCCAGGUGUAGCGGUGAAAUGCGUAGAUAUCUGGAGGAAUACCGGUGGCGAAGGCGGCAUCCUGGACCAUUACUGACGCUGAGGCGCGAAAGCUAGGGGAGCAAACGGG